UGUAUUUUAUUGGUAUUUCUCAACUGUCUGGUAUGUGUUCACUGUUAUUGGUAGUUGGGAACAGACUGCUGCCUCUGACUUACUAGUUGCUCGGGAAGAGGAAGUGGGACUGCUGGUGUUGUCAUCAAAAAGAGGAUUGGAAAGAUGGUUUGGGCCGUCCUGUGCUGCUCAGUGUCUUUGGCUGCCCUUUUUCUUUAUGUUCCGUAUUCUUUGCUUUUGUUUGUCUUUUAGGGACAGGAUGGGAUAUGCAGAGUUUGACCUAUAUGAAUGCUGCUUCUGGUGUCCUCGUUUUUAGGUUUUACUCAAAUUCAGGGCCCUUGCGAGGACAGAAGCGGGAGUCGGAGUCUCUGAAACUGGGGUUAUACACAGUGGAGGCUGGCCUGAUGGACCACAUCAGGGAGCAACCUGGUCUUCUGGAGGUCAAGAGGUGUCAUCAGCAGUUGCUGAGGAUAUGAAGAGAGCUGGAUGUGUUUAUAGCAGCUUGCUCUCAGAAAGAAAUUGAAGCUAUCAGAAGAUGGGAAGAUUUCCCUUGCUCAUGUAGGAUCACCAUCAGUAGUAAAGACACCCACCCUACUGAAAUCAGUCUCCAGAUUCAACAGUCUCCAGUCAGAAUUCCAACACAAUUCUUUACAGACCUUGAAAACACAAUCCUCAACUUCAUAUGGAAAAACAAAAAACCCAGGAUAGACUUAGGCUCCUAACCUGGCCAGCUAUCCUGGUGGUAGCACGAAGAAAAACACCCAUGUACUGGCAUUACUAUGACGGAAGAAUGUGUGAUGGAGGGAUGAAAGAGAGUGAAGCCAAGUUCCCUACACUGUGGAGAAGUGAGGAACAGGCAGAUAUGAAGAGGUCACGGUGAGGUCAGCCCAGGCAGCUACCAAGAGCCAUGUCUGUGUCUAGGGUCCUGCUGCAGCUGUGCUCGGUAUCAAUGUAAGUGGCCUGAGUUACCACCAAAGGCCAAGUCAGUGUUAGUGUUCUGGGGGCCACGUCAAUACCGGAGGGCUGCGCUGCUCCGGGGUGGGGUGGGGGUUGUAGGGAAAGAGGGGACUAAGCACAAAUGCUGACAUGAGUGGCCUGUACUGCCACCUGAGGCCAUGGGGAUAUCUGGCCCAUACUGCUGCACUGCUGGGGGCCAUGUCUGGGUCCCUGGUCCUGUGGCAGCUGGGGUCUAUGUUGAAGUCCAAGGCCCAGGCCUAUGUUACCAUCAAAGGCCAUGCAUUUGUCCCUGGAAUGGACUGCUGCCUGAAGGACUGUGGUGAGCUGCCUCUGCCUCUCAUCUGCUGUGGGGUGGCAAGGGAGAGAGUGUCCCCCUCCCUAUGUCAGGCAGGAGAGCUGGCUCUGAAGUUAUGAGAGUGGGAGAGUUGGGCCUGUCACUCACUGGCUGUGGCACUUGGGAGAGGAGAACUGACCUGUGGUGCAAGUGAGCCAGCCCUGAGGACACUGAGAGCAUGAGAGCUAUUCCUGCCCCUUGCUGGCUUCCGCAUUGGCUGAGCUGGUGGGGGAUGGGGUGGGCAGUGCUGGAGAGCUCACCCUGGUGGUGCAGGUGCAGGAGAGCUGGCUGCCUGGCCAACUCAGUUACUACUCAGGCCCAGAUCCAGGGCUCUGAGUUGGCCCAUCCUGACAUCUACCUUAUCUAUGAUUCGCUGGAGCAUGUGAAGGGGCUUGGUUCUGCAGAUCCAAAGCUGCAGGGUCUCCAUGACACAGGGCAACAACAGGAUAUCCAAGAGGAAUCCUGAUGAGGAUCAGUAUAGAUAGUGUAGCAGAAGACAGAGGCCUUGAAACAGAUCAGUGACUCAUUGCAACGAACAUUUGCAAGUAAAGAUGUGUGGGAAAAGGUAUACUGGAUGACAUACUGUGACAUUAUUAUUAUCAUCAUAUUUUCUUUUGAGGGGGAUGUUGCAGUGGUGGAGGGUGAACAUGAAGAGAUAGGGUGAUGAUAUGUUUGGGGUGCAUGAAAUUCACAAAGAAUAAAAAGUAAAACAAAAAACCUAGGAUAGCUAAAAACAUUCUGAAUAAAAGAACUUCCAGAGGUAUCACCACCCCUGAUUUCAAGUUACUACUGAGCUCUGGUAAUAAAAACUUUGUGGUAUUGGCAUAAAAACAAACACACUGAUCAGCUCAUUGGCUCAGUUGAAUUGGAGAUCCACGUAUGGACAUAUGCUUUUUGAUAAAGCCAGAGAGACACAAUGAACAACAACAACAAAAAGCAUCUUCAACAAAUGGUGAUGGUCUAACUGGCUGUCUGCAUGUAGAAGAAUGCCAGUAGAUCCCUAUUUAUGUCCUUGCACAAAACUCAAUCUAAGUGGAUCAAAGACCUCACCAUAAAACCAGAUUCACCAAACGUGAUAGAAGAGAAAGUGGGGAAUAGUCUUGAAUGCAUUGGCAAAGAAGACAACUUCCUGAAUAGAAUGCCAACAGCACAGCCUCUAAAAUCAACAAUUAAUAAAAUAGGAUCUCAAGAAACUGAAAAGCUUCUUUAAGGUAAAGGACACUGUUAAUAGGACAAAGCGGCAGUCUACAGAAUGAGAAAAAGUUUUCACCAGCUCCAUAUGCGAGAGAAUGAUAAUAUCCAAAAUAUAUACAGAACUCAAAAACUAGACAUCAACAAACAAAAUAAUCCAAUUUAAAUGGUUUUUAAAUUUUUUAUGGAAAAGUUUUGCAUCUGCUUUCAUCAAGGAAACUAUCCAAAAUUACUUUUUAAUUUUUUUGAGACAGGGUCUCACCAUGUAGCCCUAGGUGGCCUGGAACUCUCAGCAUAGACCAGGGUGGCUAUGAACUAACAGAUCUACCUGCUUCUGGAGUGCUGGGAAUAAAGGCAUGUGCCACCACGAAUAGAUUGAAGUUUUAUUUAUGUGUCUUAAUUUGACUUUGGUAGCAGCAUAAUACUGACCUCACAAAAAGAGUUUAAAAGUGUUCUUUUUUUUCGUUUUUAUGGUAUUAUUUGAGAAAGAUUGGGAGUAGUUCUUUAAAGUUCUGAUGAAAUUCUUCAGUGAAUCCAUCUGGAUCUGAGCUACUCAGAUAAAAAUUUUUAAGUAUGUAUUUUAAGAAAUUAAGUGUUUGUGUAUAUGUGUCUGUAUUCGGGUAUGUACAUUGAAGUGCAGGAGACGAUGGAAGUCUAACAUUGGAUCCUCUGGAGCUGGAGGUACAGUUGACUGUGAAUGUGCCUGCCAUGGGUGCUGGCAACUGAACUCAGGUCUUCUGCAAGAACACUAUGUGCUCUCAAACUCUGAGCCACUUCUCCUGCCCCAGGACUUGGGCUAGUUUUUGUUGGGGUUCUAUUAUCAUUUUUAAAAAUUGGUUCAGUCUUGUUGCUUAUUAUAAACAUCUAUAUUAUAAUAUCUUGGUUUUACAUAGAUGGUUUAUUUAUAUACAUAU